AUCUUCAACCCCAUGGCCGAAUAUAGCAAGGAGAAACCAUGGCUAGGGUUUUUCAAGCUUCCAAGCUCGAUUAGUAAGGAAAACUGAAAUUCGGGCUAAAAUGGGGAAAAUACCAAGUUGUGGACGAAAUGGUAAAAGUAGCCAUUUUCGCAUACGAGUUUUGACAAGCCAGCUCGAAAAUCGGGAACGGUCGGAGGCUCGCUCACACUAUCCGUAUACCAUCUUGGCAUAAUGGCUUGUAUAUUUUGAGUAUGGCAUGUAUAGCAUUAUAAUCAUUUUGUAUAUAUGGUCUUAUGAUA